CGAUCCCUCAGAAGCUAGAGUAUCUUUCACAAGCUUUGUAAUACCUUCCAGAAACUCCUCACUUCCCUUCUUUCGCAGAUCUCCAGUUUCCUGUUGGAGCUCCCUCUCCAAUACAAGACUAACUACAGCUUGUGAGCCUGAAGAAACCAUUCCAUAAAGUAAAGACAUUUUCCUUGAUCGAUUCUAGAGAGAACCCGAAUCUAGCAAAUCCGAAACUUGAAUUUGAAAGGCAUGCAAAACGAGGAGGUACAAACCGUAAUCAGCUGCGGUAACAGGACUUCUGUCGGAUUUUCUCCAUACUUGGGAUUGCAGCAGAGUCUUCUGCACCUCCUGAUUCAUUAUUAUAUUAUAAGGUUUCUUUAGUUUCAGGGAUUCAAAUGAGCUCCAUGCUUUAAUUGUAGUUCCAAAUUGUUAGGGUAAUUUCACGUGACGGUAUAGCUCAAUGGUUAAUGAGAAAGUAGUCAUUACCUGGCUGAGACAAGCAGCUAGAGAGACGGCUUUCUUUGCUGCUGCUAGCUCCUUGUCGUAAGACAUUGAAAAGCUUCAAGAGCUUAAACUAGCAGACGGAGCGAGGACGUAGUCAACACUGUAGAUAUAUAAAAUCGAGUUUCGUGCAAGACGGAGUUGGUGGUGCAAACCGUCGUUCACGUAAUGACAGAACAAGUUGACGUUUACAAAGAAAGACAAUUAAAGAUAUUAAAGAAUAUUUGUAAGACGUAUCAAAAUAUAUAUUAUCAUGUAGAAUAUCUCGCGAUUUUUUUUGUAUCGGUUUGCAUAUUGUAAUAAUAUUCGUUAGAAAACAAGAGUGAUCAUUAUUAA